AACACAAUUAGGUUGAAUUACAAUUGGAUGGAAGUUGAGGACAAGGAGAAGGAAGCUUAGGAUGAGGAGGAAGAGAAGCAGCAGGAGCAUCUUUAGGGAUCCCUAUGAUGUCAUUGAGGCAGCGGCGAGAGGGGAGACCUCGGCUCAUCCAGCUGGAGAGCCUGACCAGGAGGAGUCGAACAUUAACUCAGCUCUUCCAGGGCACCCUGCAGACUCGGCUGUUGGCAUCGACGAGGGAUGACGUGAACGCCAAACUGGAGUCCAUCACAGGUCAACUGCAG
ensembl:lncRNA